UUACAUUCCAAUAAAAGAGCCCUUACUUUUAAUCAAGAGUGGUUUAAAGCAUCAAUUGUAAGCCAAUCAUAAUGACUUUCUUGUAGUUGUUCUUGGUUUCCUUACGGAGGUUAGCUGCAUGACUUUUUUGGUUUUGAAAUCUUGUACUCUACAUAGAGCCUUGUGCAGUGCCUUACAUUUGAUCAGUGUUUGUUGGAUGACUGAGUGGCUGAAUAAAUAGAUGAAUGUCUUUCAUUUAUUCUGGAGAGUUCUUCCUUUGAUGAUGCUGACAGAAUUCGUAGAUUUAGGCUAAUAGAAUAUCAAAGAUGAAAUAAUGCAGAAAUAUCUGAUUUGGUUUAGCUUUAUUUAUUUUGUUAUUUUUUUUUAAUUUUCAGAUUUAGAAAGUGAGGUUCAGAGAAUUCCAAGAUCACCUGGAGCCUAAAGGGGGAAUUUCAGAAAAUUGUACCAAAUAUGAAUCUUAAGAAAUAAACAUUUGAAUCCAGUGUGUGGUUGAAAGGAACCCUGGAGGAGAGGUGGUGGCAGCUGGAAAGAAAAGACCAUGCCCCCUGGGUCUGUAGGAAGAACGCUGCAGGGACCCCCAGAGAGAGCUAAAGCAGAAAGCAUCCUCAAGGCCCUGUCCCCUCCAGGUGUAUCCUGGGGCCUCCAGUCCGUGUCAUAGCAGGUGCAGGAGCUACCAGCGUCCCUCCUCCUUCCUGGCUGAGCAGACUCCACGGUAUCUCCAGCUCGCAGAAGACCUGUCUUUGAAAGCACCUGUGCAUUUGCUUGCCUGCUUUGGAUCACUUAAGGCAGGCUUGAGUGGCCUUUCAAUCGGUUAGUUUUGUGGCUGGUUUAUUCCUCUGGCGGGGUAAGAGGAUUUCACUUAGCUGCGUAAAGGCAGAAAGGCAGUUCGGGGGCCAAGUGCUUGGAGCAGCAAACGUCAGGUCAGGCUGAAGGACGCUGAAGUUUCCCACCGACCUCAGAAGCCCUCUUGAGCAACUUUCUCUGCAGGUUUGGUGCAAACAUUGUUUUAUUUUGUUUUCCACUCAGCCAGAUAUUCACAAUCUGUUUCCCCCACCUGGAAAGUUGCAUAGUCUGACAGGCACAAGGGAUUUAAGAGAUUCCUAGCUGGCGCUGCUACUGUGGAUUAGCAGCUGGGCAGAAAGGACGGUUGGCCUCUUUGAUGUGCCUUUACGAGUACAUAGAAAUGCAGAACUGAGGCAAUUUCCUGGAUCAUUCUAAUAAAUAUGAACUAUACUUGCCCAAAGUAUUUUGGGUCAUAAUUUUCAGACAGAGACCAAAGUGAUGCAUGUCUUGAUUAUCUCAGUUCUUUAUGACAGGCCCGGAGAAACCUAGUCUAAGGAUUUAACUUAGCAGCCAUUUAUUGAUUUUCUGAUGCACAAGAGAAAGGGUCUGGGCAGGUCAGCACUUCUUUUACAAAGGCAAGUAAGACCUGGUCUUGAAUCUCACGUGGUUUCUGGUUUUAGUGGAGGUGGGUGGGGUGAGACGUAUACAGCCUGCUCACUUUAAGAAAAUCCUGUCUUGGGGCCCCAGGGUGGCUCAGACGGUUAAGCUUCCGACUCCUUGUUUCAGCUCAGGUCAUGAUCUCACCGUUUGUGAGUUCAAGCCCCGUGUUGAGCUCUGUGCUGCCAGCGCAGAGCCUGCCUGGGAUUCUCUCUCUCCUUCUCUCUCUGCCCCUCCCCACCUUGUGCUGUCUCUGUCUCUCUCAAAAUAAAUAAAAAUAAACUUAAAAAAAAAGAAAAGAAAAUCCUGUCUUAACUCUGCCCCCUACUCCGUUGCUUCACAGGCUGAUUUCUAGAAAGAUUGGUUCGUAUGUAUUGUCUCUCAGUCCCCUCCCACUUCUGCUCCCUGCUUUAACUACCACAUUCACAUGCACUUUUAGUCUUUAUCUUGCUAGGGUUGCCAUAUUUAGCAA